UGUUCUGUUGAAAUCUCCGAACGUUCUCUAUACAUCAAGAUCGAGAAAAACAUGUAUUGAAGAUGAAGAUCUUUUGCAUUCAAGUGAAACUGUCAAUUCAGGACUAGAUUCUGAUACCCUAAAAGAAUAUGAAGCAGUGAAUGAAAGAAUGGGAUUGUCUUGUGGAGUUUUAAAAAAACGAUCGAAUUUAUGUUAUACUA